rnacentral:lncRNA from 10 species
GCGUGGAGGGGGCGCCCGCGUGGGGUCGGCCGCGGCCGGGCAGAGUUGGCGCGCCAGGGCGUGGAAGCCGCCGGAGGAUCCCGCCUGUCGCAGCGGGGACGCGUGUGGGCCCCUGCUCCCAGGCCACUUCGCGCGCGCGCCCCCCACAUCCUCCUCGGGACACUUGUCCCUGGAUCCUCUACCCCUGGCCGGCCCGAGGCCGCCUUCUCGGGAAGCCCCACCAGCCCCCAAGGGUGUUUUCCCUUGGCUACCUGCGCUGCGAGGAGAGAAGGGAAUUCAGAGAAGGGGUACAAGGGGGGCGUCCCUGGGAGGGGGCGCGACUGGAGGAGACAGAACGGGGAGCGGGUGCCAAAGCGCGGGCCUUUGCUCCGCCUGGGCGCAGUGGGAGCACCAACUGGCAGAGUUGGAAACUUUUCCUCCACGUGGCACCACAGUGCGUGGACGAGCGACCCCGCGCCCGGAUGACCCCUGGGAUUCCCGCCUCGUCUUCCAGCGGGGGACCUAGGGACGCACGGGCGGCUUCAGAUCCGGGAGCGCGAGGCCUAACAGCCGGGGGCCGAACUUGAACCUCGGAGGCGGCCGCGGGCGAGGGGCGGGGCCGAAGGGGCCGGGACCGCCGCCCCAGCUCGAGGACCCGUUAGACCGGCAAACCGCAGUCCCUGCCCCGCGGGCUUCCUUUACUUUUUGGGAGUGGGGGGCGGUUUCCCUGCUUUUUCCACCACAGCCCCUCCUCCCGCCGCAAUGUGGCUGAUGCUCAUAAAAAGUUGUAUUAAAGAGCUGACUGCAGCCGAGAAUCGAUCAACAAAAGCGACCAGCCUCUCUGGGUAAAAUAGCUGUGCGUUUUUCAGGGCACUGGAAUUGAUCUAUACGGAUCAGAAAGACCGACAGCCCGCUCUCAGCAGCCUCUUGGAUACGCUUCACUUUCUGUCCAGGCACAUAAACACCACGGCACCAACCCUUCGUCCUCCCUAGUAGCCCAUACUUGUGGAGGAAGAAAAGGAAAAUAAACUGGCAUGUAUUAAUUACAAUGGGCCAGGCACCGUGCUAGAGCGCUGUGUAUAUGAUUUCACCUCUUUAGAAUACAAAUGUGCACAUUUUAUUAGUAUUACUGGAAGGAGGGUGGUAGAGAAAACAGUAAGGACGUGUUUUCUCUCACAAUCUGACACAUCUAUGAUUGAGUGAUUGAUUGUUUUUCAUUUAACAAUUAUUAGGCCUUACCAGGCUUAGCAGGCACAGUUGUAGGUGCUGGGAAUACAGCGUUGUACAAAACAGAAAAGAUACUGCUUCUUGACGUUCUAGCAGGCAAGCCUCUCUCGUCUUAUAAUUCCUAAUAACAAUUUAAUAGCUUGUCUUUCUCUUGUUUUAGGUCACACUCCUUCAGCUUCCCCGUUUCUGAAUCCCAGGUCUAUCCACGGCCUUCUCAACAGAUGACUUCAAGUUGAUUUCGUGCUUUAUUUCUUAAGAAUAGUGACUAACCUAAGGGAUCUGAUUCAAUUUAUUAGGAACACAGUGCCACCUUCCAAAAUUACUUACCUAAGAGGACUGAGCCUGCUGUCCCUGGAGCAGUUAGCUAAAACAGUGCCUCAGUACGGAGCGUACCUGUGUUAACUUCUAGAGUGCUGUUUCCGGCAGCUGCUGAAAUCCACGCUGAGGUUAUCAAGCUCAUCCUACAAAAUAAAGCAAGUUCUUCGCAAUUUAAAGCAAAAAUCUGGGCUUAUUUUUAGGGUUUUGGGGGAUGUGAAAGUUGUCUUAGAUAAGAUUCCAGGAAAGCUAAGAACUAACGAUGCAAUUACAGUCACCUUUCAACAACUUUGGGGAUUGGGUUGAGGAAGGUGUGAAAUUGGGAAAUAUAAUAAAAGGUAUUAUAUUAGUGACUUUCUAGAGUAGCCCUUGGCAGUCCUGUCUUUAAAGAGUAAUAACUGGAAAAAAAAAUGAAUGAUAAUACACUGCAUCCAAGAACCUUGCCUCUGGUGAGGGUAAUUUGCAAACGCAUUUUGGGAUAAUGUUCAGCAUUCAAUAUAAUCUUCCCUGGAAUUAGCAAUGCCUUUUGGGUCAGAGUUUCUUAGGUUUCUUCAGUCAUACAAUUAAAAUUGUUUCUGGAUUAUAUUGCCCAUAUUUGUUUCUAAUUCUCCAUUUUGCCUGUGUUUUAACUGCUAGCGAUUAAUAACUGCCAUAUAAUAAGCUAAGCAUUUAUUAUGUUUCAGGCACUGUUCUAACUGCAUUAAAAUAAUAUCUCAUUUAAUUCUCAUAAAUUUUGAGAAAAGUUUUAUUAUUCCUAUUUUACAGUUGAGUAAACUGAGGCUUAAAGUUAAGCAUAUUGUCCAAGGUGCCUCCACUCCUUAGUCAUAAGCUAAAUUUGAUCUGAGUGACUCCAAAACCUGUUCUCUUAAUGGUUAUGCUGAAAUGCCCUUCUUAGAAUGAUUCCUCAGGAAGUCAAAUGCUAGGUAUAUAGUACAACCACUUUGGAAAACUGGCAAUAUCUGUUAAAGUUAAACAUAUGAAAACCCUAUGGCCCAGCAGUUCCACGCUUAGGAAUAUACCAAUGUCCCAUGUGUGCCAAAAGACUAUUAAAUCACUCAGAGCAACCCUAUUCAUAAAUAACCCCCAACCAGGAAACAACCCAAAUGGUCAUAAACAGUAAAAUAGAUAAAUAAUUGGUGGUAUAUUCAUACAACAGAGUACAUUCUACCACACUAAGAAUGAACAAUCUGCUUCCAAAUGCAGUAAAAUAUAUGAACCUUACAAAUGUGCUAAGUGAAAAAAGGGAGAUGUACAAUUGCGGGACUCCAUUUAUGUGAAGUACAGAAACAGACAAAAGUCAUUGAUGCUAUUCAAAGUCAGGAUAGUGGUUACCCUUGAGAGAGAGCUGAUGACUAGGAGAGAACACCAAUCGGCUUCUGGGGAGCUGGUAGUGUUGUUUCUUGAGCUGGGUACUGGUGUGUUCAGUUUGUGAAAAUUCAUUGAGCUGUACUAUUGAUAUAUGCAUCUCUGUGUAUGUAAAUUAUGCUUCAAUAAAAAGCUUUAAAAUGCUGUGUAUAUAUAAAUGCAUAUGAGUAUUGCUUGUGUACAUAUGAGUACCUAUAUAAUACUUCGUUUUUU